GAUGAAGAACGUAGCGAAAUGCGAUAAGUAAUGUGAAUUGCAGAAUUCAGUGAAUCAUCGAAUCUUUGAACGCACCUUGCGCUCCUUGGUAUUCCGAGGAGCAUGCCUGUUUGAGUGUCAUUAAAUUCUCAACCUUUCCAGCUUUUGCGAGUUUGGAUUGGCUUGGAUGUGGAGGUUUGCAGGCUUCUCAGAAGUCAGCUCCUCUUAAAUGCAUUAGUGGAACCUUUGUGGACCAGCUUUGGUGUGAUAAUUAUCUAUGCCAUGGUUGUAAAGCAGUUUUUAUAUGGGGUUCAGCUUCUAACAGUCCAUUGACUUGGACAAUUUCUGACAUUUUGACCUCAAAUCAGGUAGGACUACCCGCUGAACUUAAGCAUAUCAAUAAGCGGAGGA
rnacentral:misc_RNA from 1 species